rnacentral:lncRNA from 1 species
UUUCCUCGGUUUUCUUUUCUUAUUUCUUGAAUUUUUAUCGACUACCCUUUUCCGUGCUUCUUUCUUUUGAAUCAUCGAGUAUUUGCUUUUUAUUUUCUUUUCUUUUUCUUGAUUCAUCACUUUUUCUUUUUCUCUUGUUUUUGCACUGAUCAGUGCAUUUUGGAUGCACAUUCUUCCAUGUUUGUACUUAAGCAUUUUUUCGGUUUGCUUUGAUUAUUUUUAUGUUUUAAUGUGUUUUCAUAAUUUAUGUUAUUUUUGCACUUAUUUAAUUUUCGUAUUUAAUUUUCAGCAUUAA